AACUUUCUGAAUUCGUACGGAGACUUCGUUAGACAGGAAUCCAUCAGGGCUAACGAAACUUCCAAGAUAAGUGAAGUG
rfam:Schistosoma mattheei strain Denwood, Zambia genome assembly, scaffold: SMTD_scaffold0010819